GGGCCUGUAGCUCAGCCGGUUAGAGCAGGGGACUCAUAAUCCCUUGGUCGUGGGUUCGAGUCCCACCGGGCCCACCA
rnacentral:tRNA from 1 species